GGAAACCAGAGUCUCCACUCUGGGAAAAAAUUAGAGACAAUGAAAACAGAGUUCCUACAUGUGAAGAGGUCAUGCCACCUCAGAACCUGGAAAGGGCAGAUGAAAUUUGCAUUGCUGGCUCCCCUUUGACUCCCAGAAGGGUGACUGAAGUUCGUGCUGAUACUGGAGGACUUGGAAGGAGCAUAACAUCUCCAACCACAUUAUACGAUAGGUACAGCUCCCCACCAGCCAGCACUACCAGAAGGCGGCUAUUUGUUGAGAAUGAUAGCCCCUCUGAUGGAGGGACGCCUGGGCGCAUGCCCCCACAGCCCCUAGUCAAUGCUGUCCCUGUGCAGAAUGUAUCUGGGGAGACUGUUUCUGUCACACCAGUUCCUGGACAGACUUUGGUCACCAUGGCAACCGCCACUGUCACAGCCAACAAUGGGCAAACGGUAACCAUUCCUGUGCAAGGUAUUGCCAAUGAAAAUGGAGGGAUAACAUUCUUCCCUGUCCAAGUCAAUGUUGGGGGGCAGGCACAAGCUGUGACAGGCUCCAUCCAGCCCCUCAGUGCUCAGGCCCUGGCUGGAAGUCUGAGCUCUCAACAGGUGACAGGAACAACUUUGCAAGUCCCUGGUCAAGUGGCCAUUCAACAGAUUUCCCCAGGUGGCCAACAGCAGAAGCAAGGCCAGUCUGUAACCAGCAGUAGUAAUAGACCCAGGAAGACCAGCUCUUUAUCGCUUUUCUUUAGAAAGGUAUACCAUUUAGCAGCUGUCCGCCUUCGGGAUCUCUGUGCCAAACUAGAUAUUUCAGAUGAAUUGAGGAAAAAAAUCUGGACCUGCUUUGAAUUCUCCAUAAUUCAGUGUCCUGAACUUAUGAUGGACAGACAUCUGGACCAGUUAUUAAUGUGUGCCAUUUAUGUGAUGGCAAAGGUGUAUAGAAGUGUUUUGAU
rnacentral:lncRNA from 1 species